rnacentral:tRNA from 1 species
GGGUCCAUAGCUCAGUUGGUAGAGCAACGGACUUUUAAUCUGUAGGUCAUGGGUUCGAGUCCCAUUGGACCCACCA